CAUCGUUUCACAAUGUUUCCAUCACCAUCAUCAGUGGAUGCCUUUGCCGUCCGUAGCCUGAGAUUUCACAUUUGCAGCAACAUUUUUUUGAUUUUCUCAUUUAUUGGAAUGCUGUGCAGGUUGUACCUUGCAGCCAUCCAUUACAAUGUCACCAAGCCGUAACAAAAGCAGGAGAGGGAAAGUACAAGGCUAUGUUCCCAAAACACACAAGUGACAUACCUUAUGUGGAUGAUGUGAUCAGGCUUGUGUUUGAUGAGGUAUUUGAAGAUAAGCUGAAGGAAACCCCGAUUCCAAUGGACCUGGCAUCACAGUUUGAGAGACCUUCAAAGGAGGACGUGAUUGCAUGCCAUCUUCAGUGCAGGGGUCGUCGAAAGCCAAAAUUGUGACCGAUCUGAUCAGGAAGCUCUAAGCAUAUCUGGAGAACAACACACGACAGGAUGAUAACCUUAUAGUGUCGUCUUAAAUAGCACCAGCUGACAAAGCUUUGAUAUGCCAUUUAUAGAUAGCUGUAAGAAAUGAAUUGAACAAUUUUUGAAACAA